ACGAGCAUAGAACAACCCUUUCUUCUUCUCUUCCUUCCUCUUUAUCUUACUUCGCUCGAGCACCACCAUCACCAUAUCAACAGUUACAUUUGAAGAAGAAAAUUGUCAGAAACGACCUAAAAAGAUAAGUUUAAUCUUUCCUAAUCUUCGUAUUUCAAAUACAAUCUCUAAGUCUUCGAUUUGAAUCGAUUUUUAGAAAAAAGAUUUUUAGGGUUUUGAAAACCCAAAUCUCUAUUUUUAUCUCAAAUUUCUCGAUCAAAAUAUGAACAGAGCUUAGGUAUGUAUUCUCCUUAUCUAAAUCUUUCUAUUGAGAUCAAAAUCUCGAGAAAAAAAUUGAAUAACAUGACUCUUAGGUUGAAGAUUGAAAAUCAUGGAAUCUCUUUAUCAUUAUUCUUGAUUGAAAAUCUGUCUUUAGAUCCGUAAUCAGCGUCAUUGAAUCUCUAUUACCCGUAAAAUCAAUUUGAUUUUCAUCGACUUUCAAUUUUCAACCUCAUAUUGAACUUAAUAUCAAAAUCUGUUUAGCAACUUGAUUAUAUACACCAGCAGAUGUAAUUUGAUAACAUGUCUCGAGCUAUGUAUCUAACUAUUUGUGACUUGUCCAAGUUCAGGUGUUUGAGUCUCAACCUUGUUUCUCUUGAUGGUGUAUGUUUUCUUUCUUCAAUGUUUUGUAAGAAUUAGUAAUUAAGCUUCGAUAAUGCUUGUUUGAUUGAAAAUGAGUUUUAUUUGAAAUUGAUUUCUGAUGUUAAAUGGGUUUUUAUGAAUUUUUCUCACAGACUAUUAUAGCAGGUGUCUUGGCAGGAAUAAGUGAUUUUGUAGCUCAGAAGCUGUCUGGUAUACAGAACCUUCAAUUGAAACGCCUUCUUUUUGAAGUGAUAACUUCUCUUCUUCUUUUCUCAGUUCAAAUUGAAGUUGUUGAAUUUGCAUAUUUUCUCUCUUGCUUCUGAUGUUGUUAUCUUGAAUUUGCAUAUUAGCUUCGUUGCUUCGUAAUCUCAAUAUACCAUACUGCUUACAAUUGCUCUCUGUCCACCAAAUAGCCAAUUUUAGCAGCCACAAUCUUUAAUCUGUAAUUUGUAUGCUGUUAAGUGUAUGAGUUUAAAGAUGAAGUUUAAUUUUUUUUUAUUAAUGUAUUUAGCGAGGUUUCAAAGACUGGAAUAAAUUACAAUCAUUUGGAAUAAAACACACUCCAACUGGAGCAACUGUUGUUUCUCCUGAUGCCGCCUGCAGAGAUCAAAGAGCAAGAUGAGGAGAUUAAAGCAGAUUGAGUUAAUUAUCAGCUGGAAGUGAUGUGUCACCUAAAGUGACUAAAGAUAAUGUGUGCUUACUGUUUAAUAGCUUUGGAUAAAAUGUUAUGCAUAUGUUGUUACGCCAGUUGUGAGUUCAUGUGUAGAAUAUAUACCUACUUUAUCUACUCCCUGGAUUUAUGGUGGGUUGCAGUUGAGAAAUUGUCCAGAGGCUGGGAGGUGAUGCAGCAAAUAUACAAAGUGACAUGAGAUGUUUGGACCGUGGUCCGUGGGAAAUGGUGGUAGUGGUGCAGCAUGCGCUUACCAUUUCGUUUAUAAUGUUUUGAUCUAUUUGAUAGUAGCAAUCACCCAAUAUCUUGAUCAUUUUCUGCCUUGCUGACUCUCUUUUGUAGGGGCAAAAGCUUUUUUAUAAACAUUGACUGUUCUUCUCUUAUUCUUACCCAUAUAUAAUCAUUACAUUAUAUGUGCAGGUCCUUGGAUCAAUGCUAGGAAGACAAAUGAAGUACUAGAACAAGGAUUUUACACACAAAUGAAAUAUACCUUUAUUUAGAUAUGGGUAACCGUACCUAAACGUGUAUAUUGAGUUGGCUCAAUAACAGUUAACCGAAGUUAGCCAUAUGAACACUUUUGCAUUAACCAUGUUCAUCUUAACACUUCUGGAUCAAUUGAUGAUCAAAUGAAUCUAGUUGUGUUACUCAUAGAGUUGUUCAAUUGUUUAUAUUCUCAUAGAAGUAUACAAGACACAAUUGAAGUAUAUUAGGUUACUCAUAAGACUCGUUGGUAGACUAGCUCAGCAACCUGUUCAAUUUAUGUAGUAAUAUGUUGUUGGAGCUUCGAUUGUUAGGCGUCCAACUAGUUAAUGUAAUACUUUUUAUCCUCAAA